AAACAACAUGUCUUGGGAAAAUAUCAAUAAAAGGUUGGAAGUUGAUGGGAAGUCGGGAGAUGCAGGUGAUAAGACAACUUGAAUAUUGUACAAUGGAAUGCAAGAAGCUUGUUAGCAAAUGGUCAAGAGUUUAAAGGUUUUAUAAAAGGGUUUAAAAAGAAACCAGAAAUCAUAUGCAUUCAGGAAACCUGGCUUAAACCAGUUUUAGAUUUUAGUAUUAAAGGUUAUGAAAGUAUACGCAGGGAUAGAGAGGAAGAUAUUGGGGGAGGGUGUAUAAUAUUUGUGAAACAAGGAAUACAAUAUAAGGUUUUAGGGAAAGGAAAGGAGUUGGAAUUUAUAAUAAUAGAAGUAUUGGAAAAAAAAGGAAAUGUUAAAAUUAUAAAUUUUUAUAAUCCAUGUAAAAGACUAUCACUAGAGGUAUUGGAUGAAUUGAUUGUACAUUUAGAAGGGAAAAUCAUAUGUUGCGGAGAUUUUAAUGCUCAUAGCACGUUAUGGGACAAUUGUAAUGAUGGGAAUGGAAUAGUGAUUGAAGAAUUAAUGGAGAUUAAGGAUUUAGUAUGUUUAAAUGAUGGAAGGGGAGCAAGGAUUAAUGUAAGAACAGGAACAGAAGCAGCUAUUGAUCUUACACUUGUUUCAGAUUCACUGGCGGGUAUAUGCUUAUGGGAGGUGUUUAGAGAAAUGACUAUAGGGAGUGAUCAUUAUCCUAUAGUGAUUGAAGUAAAUUUAUGUAUAGAAGCGUGCAAUACAGGAGGAGUAGACAAAUGGUUUUUUGAAAAUGCAGAUUGGGAGGCAUUUAGGAGUAUUAGUGAACAAGAAAUGGAAAAAAUUGAAGUUAAAGAAGAGGUUGAUAAGGUUAAUAAUGAUAUUUGUAAUGCUAUAUUGUUAGCAGCAAGUCAGACUAUUCCAAAGAAGGGAGGUAAGAAAAAAAAAAAAGAUUGUACCAUGGUGGACAAAAGAAUGUGAUCAAGCAAUUAAAUCUCGAAAUAAAGCUUUUAAAAUGUUAAAAAAGAAUCAUAGUUUUCAGAAUUUUAUUGAAUAUAAAAGGAAGCAAGCAAAUGUAAGGAGAAUCAUCAAAUAUACAAAAAAAGAGUUUUGGAGGAAAUUUUGUAAUACAGUGGGAAGGGAAACCGAAAUAGGUCAAGUAUGGGGAAUGAUAAAAAGAAUGAAUGGGAUAAAAAGAGAGUUUGGGUAUCCAAUUUUAAGGGAUGGAGAUACAACAGCUGUAAAAGAUGAAGAGAAAGCAGAAAUGUUGGCGAAAAAUUUUGUUAAAAUACAUAAAUCAGACAAUAUUAGUGAGGAGGGAAAAAGAGGAAGGGAAAGGACGUUGG
rnacentral:lncRNA from 1 species